rnacentral:sRNA from 1 species
GCUGGGCGCAGUGGCGCACGCCUGUAAUCCCAGCAGCUUGGGAGGCUGAGACAGGAUGAUCACGGGGUUCAAAGCCAGCCUCAG